CUCAGUUUGGGAAAUCCGAUCGUCGACUUUCUGGAUGCAUUAACACUAGGUCCCCAUUCAUCCCACGAUUUAUCAUUGAAGAUAUCCCACCAUUACUUCUUUGCUUAGGAUCUUCUACUAUAAAAGGCACACAAGGAUAUUAAAUUGCGGCGGUGAUGCGGUGGUGAAGUGGAUUAUAGAGAGGCGGAGAUACAGAGACGGUGAUGAUUGGAUUUAUGAUGAGGUGGAGGAUUGGGUUUGAGAAGAGUAGAUGUCGCUGAAGCUGAAUUCAUUGUCAGGACUUGGGGAAAGUUGUAAAACCAUUCACUCUAGCUCAAAAUUUCAUCAAUAAAACCAUUUACAUCAUAUAUCUUGAUGCACUUAGCGAUUUGUUUUGUCGUUAACGAAUCUAACGGCGGCGAUAAAUAUGGCUAGAUUCGCCACUACGGUCGUCGGAAUCAGAUAGGAAGUCCAGUGAUUUCUGCCAAAGCUUUCAUCAUAAAAAUAGGAGAGAUAGUUUGGAGGAAGAAAGGAGGAUGAAAUAGAGGGAGAAGAGAUUGAGACAGAGCAUCAGUAACUGGAGGAAUCAAGGAUUCAAGACAAAAUUUGUGAUUAUUAGUAGUCUUUGUAUCGAUCUUUGUGGAAUAAGUUAAGAAUAGAGCUUUUGGUGGUGCGUCAAUGGUGAGUUAGGCGAUGUUGCAACCUCUUCUCCAA